UAUCGGUGAUCUUUGAGGCGUGGAGCUUGUCGAUCACAUGUUGUCCUGGAUUAGCUAGUGCGAGCUGCAUACACAGUUUUUUUUACAGCUGCUAUGCAGCUCUUCUAGAGCAUGGAUACCACUGGUGUCAAUGUUGAUAACAGCUGCACCAACCAAACUAGCAAAUGUCAGGCCUUUCCUGUCUAGCUCUUGUGUUUCAUCACUCAACCAUCGGAGGAUUCUGCAUUUAGACAUUGGAGGUCACUAGUAUCUCUCUCCAACCUUUUAUUUUGAUAAUAUAUACUUCUUUAUCAAUAAAAGAGAGGGAGAAGAUAAUUACCUCUCUCUA